AUUUGGGAGAUGGCUUUUAUCCCAAGUUCUAACACUGAUGACCCACCAGCUUGUAUCCUUGACUUCCUUCACUUUAUGACGAAACCCAACUCCAUUCUUGAAGAAAAAUGCGAGCUUUCAGCUUGGAGAGAGAGGGGGAUUGUUGAGACUUGAGAGUGUUUGUGCUUGCCUUGUGGUGUUGUUGUUGAGAGAGAAGGACAAUGCUCUCUGUUGUGUGAUUUAGAUUGGCAGUGGAUUGAGGAGGAGAAGAAACUAUGUAGCCAAAGAUAUCAAAUUCGGGUUUUUGGCCUGGGCUCUUUGUCUUAUGCUAAAGGGUGUGGUGGAGCUUGCUGUAGCCGUCAAAGUCACCAUGGGUCCUAAGAUUUUGAAAUGGAUGAGAGAUAUGGUACAAUAAAUGAUGUGAGUAUUAUGUUACAGUAUUGAAGAGUCAAAAAAAGACAUUAUAAAUCCAUGUGUUUUGGUCGUGCAAUACAGUUUACCUUGUUCAAUACCUUGUACUUAAGGCUUACAUGCCAGAUACAUUAUAUAUUGAUCUCAUGUGCUUGGUUGGGAGUCUAUGUAGUCUUUUGAACUUUAAAAUUGUGCUUCCAAUGAGCUGUUCCGUCUUCAACCUUUUCUUUUAAAAAGCAAGCAAAGCGUAUAGUAGACAGCAUGCUAGUUUGUAAAAGCUUAAUCAACUAUUAAUAGGUUGAUUUAUGAAAGCUCUAGAAAUCAUGCUCAGACUAGUUGGCUGUGGCUGGGCCAAGAUCAGUGAAGAUGCUGAAUUACCACUUACCAUCUCAAGCAGGAAUAGUUGGCCCAGCCUUUUUGUUUUUCCCUUGAUAACUGUCUAUAUCCCAAUAAACCAAUCUCAUCCCAUUUUCUCGACCACUUGUUUGCCAACUUAAUCAAACUAUCAAUUACUCACUAAAGUAAGGAAAAGAUGCUAAAAGUUAACAAUACUAACAUGUCACUCUAGCCAUCCAUUAAGUUUCUCUAAAACUAAAGAAAAGUAUAUUUUAAAUAAUCUGCUAGUAAUUUUCAAGUUGACAAAAGCCUUCACUGAUAAUUGAUGCCUAGAAUGCCUCCAAUCCCUAGACGCAAUUCUAGACUUGCGAUGCUUGUGACUGUGUAAGCUGGCUUAUUGACUUGAUCCAAAAUCCAUUUUGGUACGCUACAUUUUUGGUUUGAAAGAAGGGAUGCUUAAUCCCUAUAAUAAAAAGAUUUAGAGAUAGGGAUUAGAGAGAUAAGGCUUCAUAAUUCUCUAUCUGUUUUCUUUUUUGGUAAAGAGACUUCAUAAUCCUGAAUCAAACCAAAUAUCAAUAUGUUUUUCCCAACCCAAAAAAAAGAGUAAAAGAUCACUAAAACAAACAUGGAUGCUGAAAAAUUGGUUAUGUCCUUGAUUCUAAUCACUAUUUUCUUUCCAUUUUGCAUUUCCCUUGACACCUUAACACCAGAUGAAUCCGUCAAGGAUGGCCAGUCUUUGAUUUCCAAAGAAUAAUUUUGCCUUAGGCUUCUUCAGCCCUGGCAACUCCAGCUAUCAGUUUCUUGGUUUUUGGUAUGUCAGAUUGACAAAACAAACUGUCGUGUGAAUUGCAAACAGGAAUGAUCCUAUCAAUGAUUCCGCUGGAGUUCUCUCCAUCAACCAGUUUGGAAACCUUGUCCUCCAUGACAGUUUUAACUGUCUUCUUUGGUCUACAAAUGUUUCUGUCCAAGUUACAGCCUCCUCUGUUGUUCAGCUUCAAGAUUCAAGAAACCUGGUAUUGAUCCAGGGGGAUAACAGAAAGUGGACUGGAAAGCAAUUUUUUUUUAGUGUAGCUUGGUUGGUUUGUCAACUCAGGGAGGAAUAUGAAGUCUCCCUACCAAAAAUAUAAAAUUCGGGGUUUUGGCCCAGGCUCUGUCUUAUGCUAAAGGGUGUGGAGGAGCUUGCUGUUGCUGUCAAAUUUACCAUGGGUCCUAAGCAGACCAAUCCAUCAAGGAUGGCCAAUCUUCAGCCCUGGCAACUCCAGCUAUCAGUAUCUUGGAAUUUGGUAUGUCAAAGUGACAAAACAAACUGUCAUUUGGGUUGCAAACAGAAAUGAUCCUAUCAAUGAUUCCUCUGGAGUUCUCUCCAUCAACCUGUUUGGAAACCUCAUCCUCCAUGACAGUUAUAACCGUGUUGUUUGGUCUACAAAUAUUUCUGUCCAAGGGACAACCUCCUCUGUUGCUCAGCUUCAAGAUUCAGGGAACCUGGUAUUGGCCCAGGGCAAUAACAAAAAGGUGUUAUGGCAAAGCUAUGACUACCUUACAGACACUUUGCUUCCAUACAUAAGGUUGGGUUGAAUUGGAUAACUGGAGUAGACAGGUUUUGUCAUCUUGGAAGUCACAAGAUGACCCUGGAACUGGGCAAUACUUUUAUAAGAUGAAUCCUACUGGCUCUCCACAGGUUGUCUUGUAUAAGGGUUCGACCCUGUAUUGGCGGUCAGCUCCAUGGCCAUGGCAAACAUUGGCAGCAGCAACAACUGUAUCUUUGGGUUUUAAGUACGAUUUUGUUUACAACGAAGAAGAGGUAUCUUAUGCCUACUUUUUUGAUGACCCCUCCAUCAUUUCUAGAGUAGUGGUUGACAACUCUGGUUUGUUCCAACAACUUUUGUGGAAUGAUGGUGAUCGUCAAUGGAAGGAGCAUUAGAAUUUUAAGGAAAGCUAAAAGCCAAACGUGCAGUCUGUGAUGGAUAGUAGUCUAGGAACAAACUUCUAUUAAUUUUCAAGUAAAUAUCCUUGUCAUAAGCAACUGAUAGUAAUGUGUUUAAUGUUUAACCUCACGUGUUAAUCUAAUCACCUGCAAAAUUCUUGGA